rnacentral:rRNA from 1 species
UACCAGCACCCCGAGUGGUCGGGACGAUUAUUGGGCCUAAAGCAUCCGUAGCCGGUUUUACAAGUCCUCCGUUAAAUCCAGCUGCUUAACAGAUGGGCUGCGGAGGAUACUAUAGAGCUAGGAGGCGGGAGAGGCAAGCGGUACUCAGUGGGUAGGGGUAAAAUCCGUUGAUCCAUUGAAGACCACCAGUGGCGAAGGCGGCUUGCCAGAACGCACUCGACGGUGAGGGAUGAAAGCUGGGGGAGCAAACCGG